UCGGGAAUUUUGGGCAAUGGGCGAAAGCCUGACCCAGCAACGCCGCGUGAGGGAUGAAGUAUUUCGGUAUGUAAACCUCGAAAGAAUGGGAAGAAUAAAUGACGGUACCAUUUAUAAGCUCCGGCUAACUACGUGCCAGCAGCCGCGGUAAUACGUAGGGAGCAAGCGUUGUUCGGAUUUACUGGGCGUAAAGGGCGCGUAGGCGGCGCGGUAAGUCACUUGUGAAAUCUCUGAGCUUAACUCAGAACGGCCAAGUGAUACUGCUGUGCUAGAGUGCGGAAGAGGCAACCGGAAUUCUUGGUGUAGCGGUGAAAUGCGUAGAUACCAGGAGGAACACCUGAGGCGAAGGCGGGUUGCUGGGCCGACACUGACGCUGAUGCGCGAAAGCCAGGGGAGCAAACG
rnacentral:rRNA from 1 species